AGGUCAUGAUGAGGACACUUUCACAUUAAAUCUUCUUUGUACCUCUCCCAUGCUUCAUACAAAGAUUCAUUCUCAAAUUGAGUGAAUAUGGUAAUAUCAUUCCUUAGCUU